CAUUCUGUAUUUAGUGAGUACUAGCCACAUAGCACUGUACUGUUUGGUAGGUAAAAUGCAACAGAAAACACUCUCUUCUGAGAGCUUAUAAUCUUAUUGGAGGAGAUUAUGUGCAUAACUGUAAGCUUCUAGAGGAAGAACUUUUUUCUCUAUUCUCAGCACCUAGCACAGUACCUGGCACUCUAUAUGAAUAUUUACUAGAUGAAUGAGUAAGAACAAAUGCCAAAGCAACCAUAUCAAAAUGUAGUUUAAUACAAAGUGAGAAAAUGAAUGUGUGCCAGUAGAGUACUGGGUGUCUUGAUGAGGAGUCUUUUAACUGUUUUCAGAUACAAGUAAACUAUCAGAGAGAAAGUAAUGCAGUAUUUAAAAAUUGCAUCCAUCACAUUAUUCAUCAUACUCUAAAUCCUAUGGAACAUAACUUUUCUGAGUACUGUGCUUUCUCAGAAUGUGGAAGUGUAUACACAAGUAAAAAGACCAAUACCAUCCUUAAUACUAAAAUUUUCUGAAUACUUACUGUUACUAUAGGCCACAUGCUAUGCUAAGAACUAGGUAGCAUUUAUUUUUUAACCUCAAUAUUUCUGUGAGAAAAAUGCUAUUAUGCUCAUUUUACAGAAAGUAAACCAUGGUUCAGUAACGCUAAAUAACUUAGUUUAAGAGGUGAAGGCAAGAUAUGAACCCUAGUAGUUUGACCUCAGAGCCCAAACUCAUACUCGCUUGGCAAUUUUGUCUCCACAGAAGAUUAUUAAAAUAUAAAAUACUGUUUUUAUUUAGAGGGGUGAAUACUGAGGAUUUCAUACACACCAUACUCCAAAUUACAUACAAAAUGCCUGAAUGUGACUUAGUUCUGAUAAGCUCAGGGCCAAGCAGAUACAGUCCAAAGGUCUCAAAGACAGUCAAAACUAAUGCCAAGUAAUUGAUCUGUAUUUGGAUUAGUGCUGAAGAAAGAAUACUUGGCCUCUUGAUUGUGUGAAAGUACCAAUGCAGAAUAACGAUACUAGUUUUACUUGCACGGUAGCAUUUUUUGCCAAAAGCAAGCAUUAGGUACACCCACAAGACAAUUAAAGCAUUCCUUCCAGGAACAUUUCUAGAAACAGAUGACUAAGGGCUGAAAAGAAAUAAAACUCUACAUGGCACAAUAGCCAUACACAAAUUAUAUAUUACUAGAUGCUCAAAAAAUACUUGUUGCUUAAUAUCAAAACCAAUGAUGAUUCCUAAACAUUGUAUUAUUUAUCAAACCUCUAGCCUAAAGGAUACUGAUACCAUCAAAGCAUUUAGGCCCCAGAAUACGUUUGAAAACAUAAUAUAGUUAAUUCCUAAGUUAUGAUCAUACAAAAAGUUUGUUGUUAUGUCAGAGAUUUGGAAUUUAGAACUCAUGUUCCCACAGAAACAAUGUUAUAAACAGUACUCACUUUACCAGAAUCGCUCAUAUAUGGACUAUAAAUUAAUAUAAAGCACGGUGGAACUUGGCCAGAAUGCUAAACUCUGAAUAGGAAGAACAGAAUAUGGAGCCCAGGUCUGGACAUCCGGUGAAUUAAGGACUCCAAAGGAAAGCACUGGUACAGUUUACCUUCCAUUCCUGAGAUCUGACGGCCAGCCUGGGCCAAGCAAUUUUGCAGUUCUGCUUCUGGAGCCCGAUACCCAUCUGUCUGAAUAUACUUCACAUCCUAAAGAAGAUGAGUAAAUAUUACAACCAAUAAAAAACUGUUCACUUUCCUUCC